CUUUGACCCGGGUAUUUCCGAAUGGGGAAACCCGGCCUCCUCAUGGAGGUCAUCGUGCACUGAAUACAUAGGUGUACGAGGCGAACGCGGGGAACUGAAACAUCUAAGUACCCGCAGGAAAGGAAAUCAAUUGAGACUCCCUGAGUAGAGGCGAUCGAAAGGGGACCAGCCCUUAAGCUGCUCGGUCUUUAGGAGAACGGUCUGGAAAGUCCGGCCAUAGCGGGUGAUAGCCCCGUAUCCGAAAGGGACCUCGCAGUGAAAUCGAGUAGGUCGGGACACGUGUUAUCUUGACUGAAGAUGGGGGGACCAUCCUCCAAGGCUAAGUACUCUCAGCUGACCGAUAGUGAACCAGUACCGUGAGGGAAAGGCGAAAAGAACCCCGGUGAGGGGAGUGAAAUAGAACCUGAAACCAGGUGCGUACAAGCAGUCGGAGCCUUCUUCGGAGGGUGACGGCGUACCUUUUGUAUAAUGGGUCAGCGACUUACUCUCAGUGGCAAGGUUAACCGUGUAGGGGAGCCGUAGGGAAACCGAGUCUGACAAGGGCGUCGUAGUCGCUGGGAGUAGACCCGAAACCGGGUGAUCUAGCCAUGGCCAGGGUGAAGGUGCCGUAACAGGCACUGGAGGCCCGAACCGGGAUCUGUUGAAAAAGAUUCGGAUGAGCUGUGGCUAGGAGUGAAAGGCUAAUCAAACCCGGAGAUAGCUGGUUCUCCCCGAAAGCUAUUUAGGUAGCGCGUCUCGUCUCACCACCGGGGGUAGAGCACUGUUUGGGCUAGGGGGUCAUCCCGACUUACCAACCCCAUGCAAACUCCGAAUACCGGUGAGUGCAAUCGAGGCAGACAGACGGCGGGUGCUAACGUCCGUCGUCGAGAGGGAAACAACCCAGACCGCCAGCUAAGGUCCCCAAAUCACAGCUAAGUGGGAAACGAUGUGGGAAGGCCAAGACAGCCAGGAGGUUGGCUUAGAAGCAGCCAUCCUUUAAAGAAAGCGUAAUAGCUCACUGGUCGAGUCGGCCUGCGCGGAAGAUGUAACGGGGCUAAGUCGUGUACCGAAGCUGCGGAUGCCGCAAGGCAUGGUAGGGGAGCGUUCCGUACGCCUGCGAAGGUGUGCCGAGAGGCAUGCUGGAGGUAUCAGAAGUGCGAAUGCUGACAUGAGUAACGAUAAGGGGAGUGAAAAUCUCCCCCGCCGGAAGACCAAGGGUUCCUGCGCAACGCUCAUCGGCGCAGGGUAAGUCGGCCCCUAAGGCGAGGCGGAAACGCGUAGUCGAUGGGAAACGGGUCAAUAUUCCCGUACCACGCAUGACUGCGAUGGGGUGACGGAGAAGGCUAGGCCAUCCGGGCGUUGGUUGUCCCGGUUCAAGCGAGUAGGCGGUUCCCUCAGGCAAAUCCGGGGGAGCAACGCCGAGACGUGAUGACGGUGGGUCCAAGGACCCCGAAGUGGUCGAUGCCAAGCUUCCAGGAAAAGCCUCUAAGCAUCAGGUCAUGGGUGACCGUACCCCAAACCGACACAGGUGGUCAGGUAGAGAAUACCGAGGCGCUUGAGAGAACCCGGGUGAAGGAACUAGGCAAAAUGGCACCGUAACUUCGGGAGAAGGUGCGCCGCUGCUGGUGAUCGGACUUGCUCCGUAAGCUGGUGGCGGUCGAAGAGACCAGGUGGCUGCGACUGUUUAGUAAAAACACAGCACUCUGCAAACGCGCAAGCGGACGUAUAGGGUGUGACGCCUGCCCGGUGCCGGAAGGUUAAUUGAUGGGGUCAGCCUCUUUUAGGAGGGGCGAAGCUCCUGAUCGAAGCCCCGGUAAACGGCGGCCGUAACUAUAACGGUCCUAAGGUAGCGAAAUUCCUUGUCGGGUAAGUUCCGACCUGCACGAAUGGCGUAACGAUGGCCACACUGUCUCCACCCGGGACUCAGUGAAAUUGAAAUCGCGGUGAAGAUGCCGUGUACCCGCGGCUAGACGGAAAGACCCCGUGAACCUUUACUACAGCUUCACACUGGACUUUGACCUGAUUUGUGUAGGAUAGGUGGGAGACUUCGAAGCGUGCACGCCAGUGUGCGUGGAGUCGCCCUUGAAAUACCACCCUGGUCAUGUCGGGGUUCUAACUCGGGUCCGUGAUCCGGAUCGAGGACAGUGUGUGGUGGGUAGUUUGACUGGGGCGGUCUCCUCCCAAAGCGUAACGGAGGAGCACGAAGGUGGGCUCAGCGCGGUCGGAAAUCGCGCAUUGAGUGUAAAGGCACAAGCCCGCUUGACUGCGAGACUGACGAGUCGAGCAGGUACGAAAGUAGGUCUUAGUGAUCCGGUGGUUCUGCAUGGAAGGGCCAUCGCUCAACGGAUAAAAGGUACUCCGGGGAUAACAGGCUGAUACCGCCCAAGAGUUCACAUCGACGGCGGUGUUUGGCACCUCGAUGUCGGCUCAUCACAUCCUGGGGCUGAAGCCGGUCCCAAGGGUAUGGCUGUUCGCCAUUUAAAGUGGUACGCGAGCUGGGUUUAGAACGUCGUGAGACAGUUCGGUCCCUAUCUGCCGUGGGCGUUUGAGGUUUGAGAAGAGCUGCUCCUAGUACGAGAGGACCGGAGUGGACGAACCUCUGGUGUUCGGGUUGUCAUGCCAAUGGCAUUGCCCGGUAGCUAUGUUCGGACGGGAUAACCGCUGAAAGCAUCUAAGCGGGAAGCCUCCUUCAAGAUGAGACCUCACCGGGACCUCGAGUCCCCUGAAGGGUCGUCCAAGACCAGGACGUUGAUAGGCGGGGUGUGUAAGCGCUGUGAGGCGUUGAGCUAACCCGUACUAAUUGCCCGUGAGGCUUGACCAU
rnacentral:rRNA from 1 species